AUUCAAACGCAGUAUGUAGUAGGGAGUACCUACUGCCUACUACAAUCGACCCAUCUGCAGCCAGCUCCGCCACCUUCCUCACUCACCUGCCUGUUCACUACCGUCUGGAUCCCUCCCUCAGCACCCCAGGACCCCCACCAGCUAUCACUUCACCCUGCACUUCUGUAAUAAAACUUUGGAAACAAGA